AGGAGCCGUAUGAGGUGAAAAUCUCAUGUAAGGUUUUGGAACAGAGAAUUCUUUGAAUUGAAUGAUAACCGUAAUAAAUUUCGACUCAAU
rfam:Gossypium raimondii chromosome 2, whole genome shotgun sequence.